AGUCAUGGUGAGUAGAGACCUCAUGUCAAUAGGUACCAGUCAUGGUGAGUAGAGACAUGUCAAUAGGUACCAGUCAUGGUGAGUAGAGAGAGACAUCAUGUCAAUAGGUACCAGUCAUGGUGAGUAGAGACAUCAUGCCAAUAGGUACCAGUCAGGGUGAGUAGAGACAUGUCAAUAGGUACCAGUCAUGGUGAAUAGAGACAUGUCAAUAGGUACCAGUCAUGGUGAAUAGAGACAUCAUGUCAAUAGGUACCAGUCAUGGUGAGUAGAGACAUGUCAAUAGGUACCAGUCAUGGUGAGUAGAGACCUCAUGUCAAUAGGUACCAGUCAUGGUGAGUAGAGACCUCAUGUCAAUAGGUACCAGUCAUGGUGAGUAGAGACAUCAUGUCAAUAGGUACCAGUCAUG
ensembl:lncRNA